GUACGGGAGUUCCAGUGAUGGGACAAGACUAACUACCAAUUGAAUACCACAAAAUUGAGGAGAUAAAGGGAUACAAAUAAAUACAUUUUUAAAAAGCAUGCUACACCCAAGGCAAGCUCAACUAAUCCAACUGGCAUUUGAGGGGAAUCUUACAAGAAGAUUUCGGGAGAAUGGAAUGAUCGAUUCAGGAAGUUCCACAGAACAUCAAGUAGGCUGCACUUGUUUGAAAAGAUCUCCUGGUCCAGCCUGAUAUCUCUCUGACUGACUCAAUGGGAGGGGUCUUCAGGGGCCACCAGGGGCCCGAGAUGUUCAGGGGCUACAACUUCACCAUCACCUGCUCCACUCAGCCACAGUACCCAGAAGGCUCCUUCCUCCUCACGUUCACCAGCUCAAACAGAACCCAGACAGCUGUCAAUGACUGCUGCCUUCCUCUUCCCUGCUGCAGACGACUCCCACCAAGGGGACGACAGAUGUGUUUAUGAGAAUUAUGUUUUCUCUCAUAACUUCUCCCUCACUGUCACAGCCUCUCCUCUGCCAAACUUCAUCACCAGACACAUUGUAGUGCUGCUGAUCCUACUGACAGCCAACACCACCUCCUACCUGUACUUCAAGGUAAAGACAUUCACUCAGACGUGACAAGUCAAAUGUUUGUAUUUGAGCAGAUUGAUAUUUCAACUGUUGUGAGGGGCUGAUUUGUUAUGGGGGUGCCCCCCAUUUUUUUGUUUAAUGACUGAUUGAAUAUAUUUGUAGUCUGGUACAGUAGAUAACAGUCACAGAUACAGUCUAGUUAUGUCAUUAACCAGUUGUGUAUCCAUUGGGGGAGGGAGAGACGGACAUAUAUACUGUAUAUACACUGAGUAUACCAAACAUUAGGAACACCUUACUAAUAUUGAGAUGCAUGAAUUUAAUGCUAAGAGUGUGCAAAGUUGUCAAGGCAAAGGGUGGCUACUUUGAAGAAUCUCAAAUAUAAAAUAUAUUUUGGUUCAACACUUUUGGUUUCUACAUGAUUCCAUAUGUGUUAUUUCAUAGUCUUGAGGUCUUCACUAUUAUUCUACAAUGUAGAAAAUAGUCAAAAUAAAGAAAAAGCCUGGAAUGAGUAGGUGUGUCCAUAUAUAUAUAUACAGUGCCUUGUGAAAGUACUCGGCCCCCUUGAACUUUGCGACCUUUUGCCACAUUUCAGGCUUCAAACAUAAAGAUAUAAAACUGUAUUUUUNNNNNNNNNNCUUUGGCAAUUUUUUGGGCCUUCAUCUGACACCGCCUGGUAUAGAGGUCCUGGAUGGCAGGAAGCUUGGCCCCAGUGACGUACUGGGCCAUAUGCACUACCCUCUGUAGUGUCUUGCAGUCGGAGGCUGAGCAGUUGCCAUAGCAGGCGGUGAUGCAUGGAUGCUCUCGAUGGUGCAGCUGUAGAACUUUUUGGAAGAUCUGAGGACCCAUGCCAAAUCUUUUCAGUCUCCUGAGGGGGAAUAGGCAUCGUCAUGCCCUCUUCACGACUGUCUUGGGGUGUUUGGACCAUGAUAGUUUGUGGAUACCAAGGAACAUGAGGCUCUCAACCUGCUCCACUACAGCCCCAUCGGUGAGAAUGGGUUGUGCACAGCCCUCCUUUUCCUGUAGUCCACAAUCAUCUCCUUUGACUUGAUCAUGUUGAGGGAGAGGUUGUUGUCCUGGCACCACACUGCCAGGUC
rnacentral:lncRNA from 13 species